GAGUUUGAUCCUGGCUCAGAACGAACGCUGGCGGCGUGCUUAACACAUGCAAGUCGAACGUGAUUGAGAGCUUGCUCUCAUGAAAGUGGCGCACGGGUGAGUAACACGUGGAUAAUCUGCCUGGCGAUUCGGGAUAACACUUCGAAAGGGGUGCUAAUACCGGAUAAGCCCACGGUCUCUUCGGAGAGCGCGGGAAAAGGGGGCCUCUGUAUAUGCUCCUGUCGCUAGAUGAGUCCGCGGCCCAUUAGCUAGUUGGUAGGGUAAUGGCCUACCAAGGCUACGAUGGGUAGCUGGUCUGAGAGGAUGAUCAGCCACACUGGAACUGAGACACGGUCCAGACUCCUACGGGAGGCAGCAGUGGGGAAUUUUGCGCAAUGGGGGAAACCCUGACGCAGCAACGCCGCGUGAGUGAUGAAGGCUUUCGGGUCGUAAAGCUCUGUCAGAGGGGAAGAAAUGGGUCGUGCUAAUAUCGCGACUUCUUGACGGUACCCUCAAAGGAAGCACCGGCUAACUCCGUGCCAGCAGCCGCGGUAAUACAAGGGCGMCYYSWRMAR
rnacentral:rRNA from 1 species